rnacentral:rRNA from 1 species
UAUGAAGGGGGCUAGCGUUGCUCGGAAUCACUGGGCGUAAAGCGCACGUAGGCGGCUUUCUACGUCAGUGGUGAAAUCCUAGAGCUCAACUCCAGAACUGCCUUUGAUACUGGAGAGCUUGAGUCCGGAAGAGGUGAGUGGAACUCCGAGUGUAGAGGUGAAAUUCGUAGAUAUUCGGAAGAACACCAGUGGCGAAGGCGGCGCACUGGGCCGGUACUGACGCUGAGGUGCGAAAGCGUGGGGAGCAAACAGG